rnacentral:rRNA from 1 species
CGAUAACGAACGAGACCUCGACCUGCUAAAUAGUUCGGCGAAGGCGUCAGCCUUUGUACGUGACUUCUUAGAGGGACUAUCGGUGUUUAACCGAUGGAAGUUUGAGGCAAUAACAGGUCUGUGAUGCCCUUAGAUGUUCUGGGCCGCACGCGCGCUACACUGAUAAAGUCAACAAGUAACUAACCUUUGCCGGAAGGCAUGGGUAAUCUUUUGAAACUUUAUCGUGCUGGGGAUAGAGCAUUGCAAUUAUCGCUCUUCAACGAGGAAUCCCUAGUAAGCGUAAGUCAUCAGCUUGCGUUGAUUACGUCCCUGCCCUUUGUACACACCGCCCGUCGCUACUACCGAUUGAAUGGCU